rnacentral:rRNA from 1 species
AUUGAACGCUGGCGGCAGGCCUAACACAUGCAAGUCGAGCGAGCGGCGGACGGGUGAGUAAUGUAUGGGGAUCUGCCCGACAGAGGGGGAUAACUACUGGAAACGGUAGCUAAUACCGCAUACUAUCGGAUUAACCCAUAUGGGAUUAGCUAGUUGGUGAGGUAAUGGCUCACCAAGGAGAAGAUCCCUAGCUGGUCUGAGAGGAUGACCAGCAAAACGGGAACUGAGACACGGUCGAGAUUCCUACGGGAGGCAGCAGUGGUGAAUAUUGCACAAUGGGCGCAAGCCUGAUGCAGGCAUGGCGCGUGUAGGAAGAAGGCCUUCGGGUUGUAAAGUACUUUCAGCGAGGAGGCGUAACUCGCAGAAGAAGCACCGGCUAACACCGUGCCAGCAGCCGCGGUAAUUC